rnacentral:lncRNA from 1 species
GUGUCAUUUUCGCACUGUAAAGACGAAAGGGGCUGAUUCCUCUUCCUCCUGCUGUUCCAGCAAGGUGGUCCUUAUCGUGGUCCGGUGUUCCUGGGCCUCCACGUCGUCGUAGUCCACUGAGGAGGAGCGCAGCAGCUGGAACUACCUGGUGAACAUUACCUGGUGGCGGCUUGGUUGUCAAGCGUUUGCCGGCACCUUGGACUUCCGGCUGGCGUUCGGAAACAUACUCCACAUUUGGCGUUAGCUUGGUACUAUUAUUGUUGUUGUUGUUGCUGGUCGCCAUUUGUUGAAUCGAUACUCGCUUGUCUGCUUUGACGCUUCCCUGCUGCUUUAAAAUAGAUUCCCGACCUGACGGCGCUGGCACAGAGCCGGAGGCACCGAGCAAUGGGGUCGUCAUUGCUGCUCCGGCACUCGGUGUGUCGAGUUCUAAAAAUCAUAGGGAUGAGGAAGAUUAAGUUAGGGUUCUUGGAGGGAUUACCCAUUGCAAAGGGUGCUAUUUCCCAACAAAUUUAUGUAUGUUAACCACGUGAAUUAAAGCAACCAAUUAACUCAGAACAAAGGUUAAAGGCGUAACAUAAACACAGAUAUAAAGCUCAAUAAAAUGCAAGAGGUAACGAGUUGUUCAUAAAAUUUAUCAUUUAUUUGAUGCUUCAUCUAACG